CUAGAUCCAACCUGAGGACUGGGAUCGGAGGUCUUUCCAGAAACAGAAGGCUUCUAGCUGCUCCCAUGGGUUUCAGGAGGAAUCCGCUUGCUUGGAUCAGCUGACCUCUGACAGUUUGUUUAGGGAAGGAGUGGGGAGUGAUUGUUACAGGCCCUGCAGGGGAGAGAGCCUGUGGGUGGUGGUGCUGAGGCGUGUUUAAUGAGGCUGUCCCUUAGUCAGGGGCUGAAGGUGGACCCUUGACAUUUGGAAGCAGCGUGGAGAGUCACUGUGCACCCCCUGAGAGAGGGAGGCCUCUGCCCGGAGCAGGGAACUUCAUAAGUGGCGGCCCAGAGGGAACCGUCCACAGAACCCCCCCUGUCUCCCCUCCAGAGUGUAGGUCCCUGAGGGCAGUCACCUGAUCUGUCUCGGUCACUGCAGUGUCCCCAAACAGAGCACCGCCUCAGGCACACAGAGGGCAGUGGUGAGGACUAAAGGAGGCAAUGAGAAGAGAGUCCCCACAAGGAGCCUGGCACAGAGGAAGUUUCGACGUAUGCUGUCCAUUGCAACUUCGACUUAUGCUGCGUUUCUGUGUCGGAACAGUGGAAGACAUUCAACAAGCACUUUGUCUCAGAGGCUUAGUUACAAUUAAUUGAGCCUGAAAGACCAUAGACUUGAAAAAGCCCUCAAAGUGAUAAAGGUAAAAAGAAAAAUAAAAUGACAUCUAGCAGGCAUUGAGGGCUCUACAACGUGUGGCUAGCCUGUAUUCAGCACCCUACAGUGUGCAGCCAGGCUGUGCUCAGCAUCCUACAGUGUGCAGCCAGGCUGUGCUCAGUACUCUACAGUGAGUAGCCAGCCUGUGCUCAGCACUCCACAGUGAGUGGCCAGCCUGUGGUCAGGACUGUACAGUGAGUGGCCAGUCUAUACUCUGCACUCUACAGUGAGUGGCCAGCCUGUACACAGCACUCCACAGUCGUCAUCUUUUCAUCAUAAAUCUAAUGGCCACUUAAUGAGGUAGACCUGUCCCAUGACUCCAACUGAUUUUAAAAAUUCAAAACUCAUACUCUCUUGCAUUUGGCAACCAAAACACAACCCACUUCCUGGGACCUUCUGACAGCCAGGCCACGUUGAGCAAACACCGAGACCUCUUCAGAGUUGGUCAGCAGCCAGGUCAGCAGUGACUGGCAAGGCGACUGCUUGCCAGGUCUCCUCCAGCAUGAGCUUGGGAUGGAGCUGAAUCCCUUUCAUGCACAAGCAGAAUUUGAAAAGGUGCGGGGCCACACUAGUACCUCUGCGUCUCCUGCCAGAGCCCACCAGCUUAUUUUGCUCCUUCAGAGUCUGUAAAGCAUCCUUCUGGAUGACGAAUGCCUUCCGAGGCUCCAGCCCACCAAGCCUUCCUCUAAGUUUCAGAUGCAGAGGCCACCUCGGAGAACUGUGAUUGUCUCCCUGCAUCUCCCCAGUGCCCCCGGAUGAGUGCCACCCUCCUCACCUGCUAUCACAAAGACAAGAAAGGCCAUUCAUAAUUUAAGUCAGCCCUUUCUUUCCUGCACGCCACCAACAUGAGUCAGAUGCUGGAGGAAAAAUUGAACUCUUUCUCCCAGGAUACACCAAAGAUCAAGCAGAAUCUCAUUAAGGCUCACUUCAAAGACUCGUCCUUUAUUUCCAUAUAAACAAGUUUAAAUUAUCGUGCGUGAAUCUGCUGUUAGCAGGGACUCUGUUCCAUUAUGCAUGAUUCCUUACUGUUCAUAUCAUGAAUAAUGGGCAGUGCUCCGUUAGCGAUUUCCAGUAAUAUGCUAAACUUUGGGAGUGGUCAUAGUGUUAGGUUAAAGUUCUGGUGUUUGCCUAUUUUAUUUCUUACUCAAGCUAUAAUGGCCUGCUUCAUCAAAAUAGGUUUCACAAUCUUAUUGUAAUGAACACAGCAUAACACAUGUUGUGGCUAUGAUUUCCUUAUUAUUAUUAUUGAAUAUUUAUUGAGCACUUACUAUGUGUAAGGGAUGGUGCUCAGUGUAUGCAUUGCAUGCAUAAUAUUUAAUCUUCCGGAAUCCCAUGAAAUAGCUAUGAUGAUUAUUCCCAUUUUACUGGUGAAAAAAACUGAUAAUUUGAGCAGGAUCUAAAUUGUCCACAGAUAAAACUUUUUUGUAUGUUUUUGAGACAGGGUCUCACUUUGUGACCCAGGCUGGAGUGCAGUGGUGCAAUUAUGGCUCACUGCAGCCUUGACUUUCCAGGCUCAAGCGAUCCUCCCACCUCAGCCUCCUGAGUAACUGGGACUACAGGCAUGCACCAUCACACUGGCUAAUGUUUUAAACAAUUUUUGUAGAGAUGGUGUCUUGCUAUUUUGCCGAAGCUGGUCUGGAACUCCUGGGCUCAAGCAAUCCGCCCACUUCAGCCUCCCAAGAUGAUGGGAGUACAGGCAUGAGCUACCGUGCCUGGCCUGAUAGAACUGUUAAUAAAUGGUAAUGCUGAUUCAAAUCAGUUGGUCUGACUUCAGAUACUCCUAAUUAUAAAAUACUUUUUACAAUGCUAUUACUUGCUGAAGAGCUUCGGUAGAUAAUCGAUGAUUUGGUAAGCAGGUAUUUGGAUGUCCAGUGCACAUUUCUCACGUCCAGAUGAGAAAUGAAUGCUCAGGAGAUUGAUUGAUACCUGGGAGUGAGAAAAUCCUUGUUCAAGUACUGGUUUUGACUUCACUUAAUCUUGGGCAAGUCAUCCAGUCUUCCUGGAUGUGCUGAGGUGGUUGCAUUACUGCCUUUGUAAUUUUUUUUCUUUUUUUUAUUAUACUUUAAGUUCUAGGGUACAUGUGCACAACGUGCAGGUUUGUUACAUAUGUAUAUAUGUGUCAUGUUGGUGUGCUGCACCCAUUAACUCAUCAUUUUCAUAAGGUAUAUCUCCUAAUGCUAUCCGUCCCCCCUCCCCCCACUCCAUGACAGGCCCCUCUGUGUGAUGUUCCCCAUCCUGUGUCUAAGUGUUCUCAUUGUUCAAUUCCCACCUAUGAGCGAGAGAGAACAUGCGGUGUUUGGUUUUCUGUCCUUGCGAUAGUUUGCUCAGAAUGAUGGUUUCCAGCUUCAUCCAUGUCCCUACAAAGGACAUGAACUCAUCCAUUUUUAUGGCUACGUAGUAUUCCAUGGUGUAUAUGUGCCAAAUUUUCUUAAUCCAGUCUAUCAUUGGUGGACAUUUGGAUUGGUUCCAAGUCUUUGCUAUUGUGAAUAGUGCCGCAAUAAACAUACAUGUGCAUAUGUCUUU
rnacentral:antisense_RNA from 1 species